rnacentral:rRNA from 1 species
GGGGAAUUUUGGACAAUGGGGACAACCCUGAUCCAGCCAUGCCGCGUGAGUGAAGAAGGCCUUCGGGUUGUAAAGCUCUUUCGGACGGAAAGAAAACGGAUGGGUUAAUACCCUGUUCGGAUGACGGUACCGUCAUAAGAAGCACCGACUAACUACGUGCCAGCAGCCGCGAUAAUACGUAGGGUGCGAGCGUUAAUCGGAAUUACUGGGCGUAAAGCGUGCGCAGGCGGUUGAUUAAGUCAGGCGUGAAAUCCCCGGGCUUAACCUGGGAACUGCGCUUGGGACUGGUCGGCUAGAGUACGGCAGAGGGGGGUGGAAUUCCACGUGUAGCAGUUAAAUACGUAGAGAUGUGGAGGAACACCGAUGGCGAAGGCAGCCCCCUGGGCCGAUACUGACGCUCGUGCACGAAAGCGUGGGUAGCAAACA